CCUACGGGAGGCAGCAGUGAGGAAUUUUCCGCAAUGGGCGAAAGCCUGACGCAGCAAUGCCGCGUGCGGGAUGACGGCCUUCGGGUUGUAAACCGCUUUCAGCAGGGAAGAAGCGAAAGUGACGGUACCUGCAGAAGAAGCACCGGCUAACUACGUGCCAGCAGCCGCGGUAAUAC
rnacentral:rRNA from 1 species